GACGAACGCUGGCGGCGUGCUUAACACAUGCAAGUCGAACGAAAAGGCCCUGCUUUUGUGGGGUGCUCGAGUGGCGAACGGGUGAGUAACACGUGAGUAACCUGCCCUUGACUUUGGGAUAACUUCAGGAAACUGGGGCUAAUACCGGAUAGGAGCUCCUGCUGCAUGGUGGGGGUUGGAAAGUUUCGGCGGUUGGGGAUGGACUCGCGGCUUAUCAGCUUGUUGGUGGGGUAGUGGCUUACCAAGGCUUUGACGGGUAGCCGGCCUGAGAGGGUGACCGGCCACAUUGGGAUUGGGAUACGGCCCAGACUCCUACGGGAGGCAGCAGUGGGGAAUAUUGCACAAUGGGCGGAAGCCUGAUGCAGCAACGCCGCGUGCGGGAUGACGGCCUUCGGUUUGUAAACCGCUUUCGCCUGUGACGAAGUGUGAGUGACGGUAAUGGGUAAAGAAGCACCGGCUAACUACGUG
rnacentral:rRNA from 1 species